GUGCUCGCUUUGGCAGCAUAUAUACUAAAGCUGGAACAAUCCAGAGAAGAUUAGCACGGCCCCUGAGCAAGGAUGACAUGCAAAUUCCUGAAGCAUUCCAUAUCUUU